CGGGUGAGUAACACGUGGAUAACCUACCUAUAAGACUGGGAUAACUUCGGUAAACCGGAGCUAAUACCGGAUAAUAUUUUGAACCGCAUGGUUCAAAAGUGAAAGACGGUCUUGCUGUCACUUAUAGAUGGAUCCGCGCUGCAUUAGCUAGUUGGUAAGGUAACGGCUUACCAAGGCAACGAUGCAUAGCCGACCUGAGAGGGUGAUCGGCCACACUGGAACUGAGACACGGUCCAG
rnacentral:rRNA from 1 species